UACGAAGGGGCUAGCGUUGUUCGGAUUUACUGGGCGUAAAGCGCACGUAGGCGGAUAUUUAAGUCAGGGGUGAAAUCCCGGGGCUCAACCCCGGAACUGCCUUGAUACUGGGUAUCUUGAGUCCGGAAGAGGUGAGUGGAAUUCCGAGUGUAGAGGUGAAAUUCGUAGAUAUUACGGAGGAACACCAGUGGCGAAGGCGGCUCACUGGCCGGUACUGACGCUGAGGUGCGAAAGCGAUGGG
rnacentral:rRNA from 1 species